GAGAUUGUGGCUCAGCGGUAGAGUGCUCACCUUGCAUGUGUGAGGCCCUGGGUUCGAUCUUCAGCACCACA
rnacentral:tRNA from 1 species